UAAAAGAAAAAAUGAAAGCCUGCAGUAAUAGAAGCAUGCAUAGAAAAAAUGAUCACAGAUGCGAAGCUAUGUUCCUUUCUUUUGAGUUUUAGUUUCCCCGUACACCUCGAAUUUUUUGUUUUUUCUUAUAUUAAUCUACCAAAU
rnacentral:ribozyme from 14 species